rnacentral:ncRNA from 10 species
GCAGAGUAGGAAUACAGGCGUUAAGUGCUGGUUGAACAGGGAGUUGUCAGCCGGACGAAGAGACCCUCCGGGGUUUCGCGGUCAGUAUUCCGCAUCCCGCUGC